rnacentral:rRNA from 1 species
UACGUAGGGUGCGAGCGUUAAUCGGAAUUACUGGGCGUAAAGCGUGCGCAGGCGGCGCGUUAAGACAGGUGUGAAAGCCCCGAGCUUAACUUGGGAAUUGCGCUUGUGACUGGCGAGCUGGAGUGCGGCAGAGGGGGAUGGAAUUCCGCGUGUAGCAGUGAAAUGCGUAGAUAUGCGGAGGAACACCGAUGGCGAAGGCAAUCCCCUGGGCCUGCACUGACGCUCAUGCACGAAAGCGUGGGGAGCAAACAGG